AUUGAACGCUGGCGGCAUGCUUUACACAUGCAAGUCGAACGGCAGCGAGAGAGAAGCUUGCUUCUCUUGUCGGCGAGUGGCGAACGGGUGAGUAAUACAUCGGAACGUACCCUGUAGUGGGGGAUAACUACUCGAAAGAGUGGCUAAUACCGCAUACAACCUGAGGGUAAAAGUGGGGGACCGCAAGGCCUCACGCUAUAGGAGCGGCCGAUGGAAGAUUAGCUAGUUGGUGAGGUAACGGCUUACCAAGGCGACGAUCUGUAGCGGGUCUGAGAAGAUGAUCCGCCACACUGGAACUGAGACACGGUCCAGACUCCUACGGGAGGCAGCAGUGGGGAAUUUUGGACAAUGGGCGCAAGCCUGAUCCAGCCAUGCCGCGUGAGUGAAGAAGGCCUCGG
rnacentral:rRNA from 1 species